CAUGGGUACAGUAAGAUAGUAAAUACGCAGUCCAUUUUUUAUUAUUAUUAUUUUAUUUUAUUUUUGUUUAAGAGCCUGGUCACACUUUAUUAAAACUGGUCACAAAAAUAUUCACUGCAAGGCUGGGCUUUUAGUUAACUCAGUUUUCAUUUUUUCUAAGCAAUCUUGAACCAAGUCUAAAAGUCUUAAAAAAAAAUCUGACAUUAGAUUUUUAUGUUUUAAACCUGUAGUGUAAUCAAUGAUAUAGUUGGUAUAUAGAUACGUCAUUUACUCUUGACUUUCUCUUUCAUACCCAAUAGCCUUUCUGAAUAGUGUGAGUUCAUAGCU